AAAAAUACAGAAAUUAAUUACUUAAAUUCAGUCAACUAUCUGCAUUUUCUUUCUUAUAUUUAUUUCUCGUAUUUUGUCAAGUAUAUUUGGUAUUCAUAAUUUAUAUAAUUAUAUUGUAUUUAGGGAGAUUUGCAAAACUACCUUUUAUUUACUACCCUUUUGUAACAAUACCCUUUUAUGUUGUCCAUUUUUUAAAAUACCUCUUCCCUUUAACAAAAUAACCAAAUUACCCUCAUCUAAUAGGAACAUGUAAUUGGAAACUAGAAUUUUCCCGCCAAUUUUUUGGCGCCAAAAUUUAUUUUUCCCGCCGAUUUUUUGGCGCCAAAAUUUAUUUUUCCCGCCAAAAAAAUAUUUCCACCAAACUUUUUUCCCACCAAAAUAAAAAUUCCCGGCAAAUUUUUUUUCGUAACAAAUUUUUUCUCAGCCAAAAAAAUGCUUUUAAAAAUCCUUGUAAAUUUUUUUUGGCUGGAAAUAGAUUUACAAGGGAUUUUAAAAGGGUUUUAAAAGAUUUACAAGAGAUUUUAAAAGGGUUUUAAAAAAUUUACAAGAGAUUUUAAAAGGGUUUUAAAAGAUUUCCAAUGAAUUUUAAAGGGUUUUCUUGUAAAUUCUUUAAAAAACUUUUAAAAACCCUUGUACAUCUUUUAAAACACAUUUAAAGCCUUUAAAAAUAUCUUGUAAAUCUUUUAAAAUCUCUUGUAAAUCUUCCAAAACACUUUUAAACCCUUUAAAAAACUUUUGUAAAUCUUUUAAAGCCCUUUAAAAUCCCUUGUAAAUAUUUUAAAACCCUUUUAAAAUCUCUUGUAAAUCUUUUAAAACAUUUUUAAAAUCCCUUGUAAAUAUUUUAAAAUCCUUUUAAAACAAUUUUAAACCCUUUAAAAUCUCUUGUAAAUCUUUUAAAACCCUUUUAAAAUCCCUUAUAAAUCUGUUAAAAACCUUUUAAAAUCUCUUGCAAAUCUUUUAAAAUCCUUUUAAGAUCCCUUGUAAAUAUUUUAAAAUCUUUUGUAAAUCUUUUAAAACCCUUUUUAAAUCCCUUGUAAAUCUUUUAAAACCCUUUUAAAAUCCCUUGUAAAUCUUUUAAACCCUUGUCAAUCUUUUAAAACACUUUUAAAAUCCCUUGUAAAUCUAUUUCCCGCCAACAAAAAAAAAUUUGCGGGAAAAAUCUUUUUUAAA
rnacentral:sRNA from 1 species